GUUAAUACGCAACCUAUGGUUUCAUCUGCCAGUCUUCAAGCAGAAGACCACGCUUCCCCCUCCAACACCAUUUUCAAGUUUUAUAGCUUAGUGUAACCAUUUUAAUUGUUCUUUUUCUGCAAGGCAUGAAGAUAAACCAUGCAUGAAUCAAUACAUGAAUGAAUCAGCCUCUGGUCUAGCUCACUGAUGUACUCAUCAUUUAUAUCCUUGCAUAAUUUACAGAAAUUGAAAGUGUAGUGAGGCUUUGCAUUCAGCUGAAUGUGGUUUGUUUACACAGUCCAAUAGAGUUUCACGUUCCAGAAAAGCUGAUUCUGCAGGGAUUGCUCAAGCAGGAUAAAAACAUCUAAAGCUUUGUGCUAAAAUAGAUGCAGUUAAGUGCCUAGGUGUCCCAUCACUUUUAGCCAAAUCUUAAUGAGAACACUGACAUCUUGGCUUUGUUGUGCAUGGUUUCACUUAAUUCAGAGGUAGCUGGGGCUCCCUGCACAAAAUUCAGUAGGCUGGAGUAUUAGCCUUUGGCUGAAAGAAAGACUAAGAUUCAUCUCAGUGAACUGCAGCUGCUUGAAAGUUAGGCAUCUAAACUAAUUUACUUGUCCAGGUUCCUGCAAUGACUGAGACACCUCCCCCACCUGGCUGUUCCUCUCAUAACCAGGAUUCACCUCCAGAGAUUACCACCUCUUGGAUGCCAUUCUCAAUUCUUCAUUUCCACUAACCUUAACAGGAUGUGAGACCACAAAAAGCAAGACACAUUAACUAUUCCCAGCACUUCUAGAAAAAUACCCUUACUAUCAGCAUGUUUCCUUCUGUUUUCUGUACCCACUUUGGCCAUACAUCACAGGAAUUAGGACUAAUGGGAAGAAAAUCCCUGCCAGGUUUCCUCAGAGCUCUUCUCCUUUGGCAAUGGUGUUUUUCCCCCAUUCUCUCCACUUUCACACAAACACACCCCACCAUUCCCCAGCCAACAAUGGAGACCGGGGGAUGAGGGGGGAGGGCAAACCCUGCAGACUGUCUGCCUCCACAGACUGUUAUUUUGGAUUUCAUUGACCUUUGAUAGGGCAACUCUUUUUCGGAUCGCUCUCUUGGUUGUAUUCUCCAGGGGAUAUGGCUUUUUACAUUACAAAUUUUGAAAGAUUCUAGGGAAGAAUUUCUGUCUCUCAAAAGCCCUAUAUCUGCUUGAAGUGUUUGGGUUUAUCAGUGACAAUUACAAAACAGAAGCAGUCUGUAUGUGAGGAAAGAUUUCUGUUUGUUGUUUGUAAGCUAUUUUCACUUUGGCUGUAGCUGUCAAGGGGGAUUUCACAGCCAUCCACAUUAUGUCUCACCCCUGUAGCUGAUAUCAGAGCAACCUUAGCUGCUUGAGUAGAAAAAAGAAUCAAGGAGACACAUUAUCUUUUAAAGAAAAGGAACAAAAAAUACUUUUGCAGAACCAACCUAGAGCUCUGCAUCAAAUACCAUCUGUGUUUAAAAAGAAACACAGGGUUGUGAUGUUAAUGAAUUAUUGUUAUUUCCUAGAGGCACAGAUGAAGUGUUUGGUUUUGUGCAAAUCAGAAGUCUCAAACCAGCCCUGUCCCAUUAGCACGGCACAUCAAACACCACAAGCUGAUUUUUGGUUUUUUGGUUCAGCUGAAGGCUGAGGAUUUACACCACUAACAACAGCCACGCAUAUGGUCACAUACAGUCAGGAAAUGAACAACUCUGCAUGAACCGAAGAGAGCGAGGGUGCAAUAAAAACAUAUCCUGCAAAGGGAUCUGUGACGGGAAAUGGGAGGAGAGCUCAGCUUGCAAGAGAAGAACAAAGCCUGUCUCUCUCCAGACUCCACUCUUCAGCAACAUACCACUCAGGAAAGGCCCUGAAAUCCAAAACAUCACUGAGGAGAUGUUUCAGUCUGUGUGAAGGUCAACACCCAGGGUACUGAGAGGGCACCAAGAGGUGCAUCGUGACAAAGAGGCCUGUCCCCCUGCAGAGCCUGGGCCUGGGCUUCAGAAGAUGCUGAUGAAGGCACUGGGUUUGUCCCAUCAUCCAAACACUUACAAUGAGGUGGUAUAUUGCUCCUCAGACAUGGAUGAGAUGCAUACUUCCAUCUGAGAAAUCAAGUCAGAACAGAAUAAGAUGCUUGAAGACUCCUGACAGGAAAAGACAAAAGAAGAUUAGAAACCUUGCAUGCAGCAGCAAAAACAGACUGUGAAUAUUGAAAGCAGGAUCCUGGAUUUUAAAUACAAGCUCAAUUUUCAGGUUUGGAUUUAACCUCUGCAUGUGAGCACAUCUGCCAGAUGAUCCAACCCACUGAUGCUACCUGCCCUCCUAAGCUGAUCUCCCUGGCUGAAGGGUCAGGAGGAGUACUGCCAACCUGGACAGGGUUUCUCAUCUUGAAGCAGAAGAUAGGAAGAGUACAUUCAAGUUAUGAAAUGCAGCAUCAGGGAGAAGAACAGUGCUGGGCCAAAAACCUUGCUUUGCCCCACCACUCAGCAUCGUGCUGCAGCAGGGAGAGGGCAGCAGUCCCUCUGGUACCCCUAUUCUCCAUGCAAAGAGCAGCAGACGGCGGUGAUCAGAUCCAGCCUUGCUGACCUUGCACCAACAUGGAUAUGGAGCAGCCACAUGAGUAGUCAACUUUUGAAUAAAUCACACUGCUCCUGCCACUCACAGUGCUGUCAAGUUACUUGUCAAAAUCAACGUGGUCAGAGUUUCAGCAAAGUGCCUCAGCCGUUUCCUGGAAUGAAACUGGGGGCAGGGGAAGGAGAGGGAAAUGUUGUCAAGGCAACAGUAAUCCCAUUAUUUUCUAACUUCUGAGUGCCUGAGUAGGCAACCUUUAUCUUCUUUCUGUGCCGUUUUUGUACAUAAUAAUAACAGCCACAAUUAUUCUCAUCGGCUUUAAGAAAAGUGAAGCAGGAAUAGCGAAGGGACAGUAAGACAUGCUUUUGCAAACAAAACAAACUAGUGCCGUCGUACUGCUGAUUGCUGGAUAUCCUGCUGCUGUGUUGAAAAAAGGCAUUCAGGGCCCAACUGCUCUGCUUGCAAUGUCCCUCUAAAUUGCCCUCCAUCCGGACAAGAUCAAGAAGCUCAUUUCCUCAUCUUGAAGUGCAACUGACAGCCUCCACACGCUCUGGUAUUGAAAUCGUUGAGCAUAUGUUAGUGUGCAGCAAUCAUUUCCCUCCAGAUUUUACGGCUCAUUGUCAUUUUUCACACAAUAAAAUGUUUUAAUGAGGAGGAAGGCUCUGCUUUAUGUUUUGGGGAAGGUCCCUGGGGAGAGAAUUGUAAUUUCUGCAUGAUGGCGGAGACUUUCAAAUCAUAUUGCAUCAGUUAUGAUUUGCCAGACAAAAUGCGUUUGAAGCAUAAACUAAGCUUACAGCACAUUUGUAAAGCUCACAAAAUAAAAGAAAAACAUAGAAAAAGAAAAACCUACUGGCCUCCCAGCAGUCCUGCUGGCUUUACGUACUUUCCUU
ensembl:lncRNA